AUUGCUAAAGCUUUUAUAUGUUAGUGUUAAAUGCACAAAAAGUUUUGAUCUUUUAAGUUUU
rnacentral:tRNA from 1 species